UACGUAGGGUGCAAGCGUUGUCCGGAAUUAUUGGGCGUAAAGAGCUCGUAGGCGGUUUGUCGCGUCUGCUGUGAAAUCCCAGGGCUUAACCCUGGGCCUGCAGUGGGUACGGGCAAACUAGAGUGCGGUAGGGGAGAUCGGAAUUCCUGGUGUAGCGGUGAAAUGCGCAGAUAUCAGGAGGAACACCGGUGGCGAAGGCGGAUCUCUGGGCCGAUACUGACGCUGAGGAGCGAAAGCGCGGGGAGCGAACAGG
rnacentral:rRNA from 1 species